UCUGUAGGUGCACGUGGGGAGGGAUCAAUACAAGAACCCCCGGGCUUCCACCUGGUUACUCACAACCCUUUGUUUUCCGAUUCUGUUGCCUCCGGGGCGACCCUGCCUUUGGGCGGGGGCUCCGGGUGGACACUUCAAACUCUUGCGUAACUUUGCAGUCUGAGUAAACUUAAUUAAUAAAUUAAAACUUUUAACAACGGAUCUCUUGGUUCUGGCAUCGAUGAAGAACGCAGCGAAAUGCGAUAAGUAAUGUGAAUUGCAGAAUUCAGUGAAUCAUCGAAUCUUUGAACGCACAUUGCGCCCCCUGGUAUUCCGGGGGGCAGGCCUGUUCGAGCGUCAUUUCACCACUCAAGCCUCGCUUGGUAUUGGGCAACGCGGUCCGCCGCGUGCCUCAAAUCGUCCGGCUGGGUCUUCUGUCCCCUAAGCGUUGUGGAAACUAUUCGCUAAAGGGUGUUCGGGAGGCUACGCCGUAAAACAACCCCAUUUCUAAGGUGACCUCGGAUCAGGUAGGAUCC
rnacentral:rRNA from 1 species